rnacentral:snoRNA from 1 species
UAUAAAGUAUUUUCAGGAAUCAUUUCUAUAGUUCUUUACUUGGAAAUGUGUUUUGAAAGUGUUUGUCUCCCAACCCGCGAUGAUGAGCUGUAAUGCUUCUUUCUGAGAGUGAAUCAAGAGCAGAACUGUGGUUGUAGUCACUAUAUGUCGUUGAAAAGCAUUCAUAUUGUUUCUGGCAGUAUUGGAGAAGAGUAUGAUCUGAGUGGU